rnacentral:rRNA from 1 species
UAGGGAAUCUUCCACAAUGGACGCAAGUCUGAUGGAGCAACGCCGCGUGAGUGAAGAAGGCUUUCGGGUCGUAAAACUCUGUUGUUGGAGAAGAAUGGUCGGCAGAGUAACUGUUGUCGGCGUGACGGUAUCCAACCAGAAAGCCACGGCUAACUACGUGCCAGCAGCCGCGGUAAUACGUAGGUGGCAAGCGUUAUCCGGAUUUAUUGGGCGUAAAGCGAGCGCAGGCGGUUUUUUAAGUCUGAUGUGAAAGCCCUCGGCUUAACCGAGGAAGCGCAUCGGAAACUGGAAACUUGAGUGCAGAAGAGGACAGUGGAACUCCAUGUGUAGCGGUGAAAUGCGUAGAUAUAUGGAAGAACACCAGUGGCGAAGGCGGCUGUCUGGUCUGUAACUGACGCUGAGGCUCGAAAGCAUGGGUAGCGAACAGGAUUAGAUACCCUGGUAGUCCAUGCCGUAAACGAUGAAUGCUAGGUGUUGGAGGGUUUCCGCCCUUGCAGUGCCGCAGCUAACGCAUUAAGCAUUCCGCCUGGGGAGUACGACCGCAAGGUUGAAAC